rnacentral:rRNA from 1 species
GACGAACGCUGGCGGCGUGCUUAACACAUGCAAGUCGAACGGAAAGGCCCUGCUUUCGUGGGGUGCUCGAGUGGCGAACGGGUGAGUAACACGUGAGUAACCUGCCCUUGACUUUGGGAUAACUUCAGGCAACUGGGGCUAAUACCGGAUAGGAGCUCCUGCUGCAUGGGGGGGGUUGGAAAGUUUCGGCGGUGGGGGAUGGACGCGGGGCUUAUCAGCUUGUUGGUGGGGUAGUGGCUUACCAAGCCUUUGAUGGGUAGCCGGCCUGGGAGGGUGGACGGCCACAUUGGGACUGAGGUACGGACCAGACUCCAACGGGAGGCAGUAGUGGAGAAUAUUGCACAAUGGGCGGAAGCCUGAUGCAGCAACGCCGCGUGCGGGAUGACGGCCUUCGGGUGGUAAACCGCUGUCGCCUGUGACGAAGCGUGAGUGACGGUAAUGGGUAAAGAAGCACCGGCUAACUACGUG